rnacentral:rRNA from 1 species
CCCUUAGAUGUUCUGGGCCGCACGCGCGCUACACUGACGGAGCCAACGAGUAUUUUCCUUGUCCGGAAGGACUGGGUAAUCUUGUGAAACUUUGUCGUGCUGGGGAUAGAGCAUUGUAAUUAUUGCUCUUCAACGAGGAAUUCCUAGUAAGCGUGAGUCAUCAGCUCGCGUUGAUUACGUCCCUGCCCUUUGUACACACCGCCCGUCGCUACUACCGAUUGAAUGGUUUAGUGAGAUCUCUGGAUUGACGCUGGCUAGGGGGCGACCCUUGGCCAGACUGUUGAGAAACUGCUCAAACUUGAUCAUUUAGAGGAAGUAAAAGUCGUAACA